rnacentral:rRNA from 1 species
GGGUUGUGAGGUUAAGCGACUAAGCGUACACGGUGGAUGCCCUGGCAGUCAGAGGCGAUGAAGGACGUGCUAAUCUGCGAUAAGCGCCGGUAAGGUGAUAUGAACCGUUAUAACCGGCGAUUUCCGAAUGGGGAAACCCAGUGUGAUUCGUCACACUAUCAUUAACUGAAUCCAUAGGUUAAUGAGGCGAACCGGGGGAACUGAAACAUCUAAGUACCCCGAGGAAAAGAAAUCAACCGAGAUUCCCCCAGUAGCGGCGAGCGAACGGGGAGGAGCCCAGAGCCUGAAUCAGCAUGUGUGUUAGUGGAAGCGUCUGGAAAGGCGCGCGAUACAGGGUGACAGCCCCGUACACAAAAGCGCAUGUGCUGUGAGCUCGAUGAGUAGGGCGGGACACGUGGUAUCCUGUCUGAAUAUGGGGGGACCAUCCUCCAAGGCUAAAUACUCCUGACUGACCGAUAGUGAACCAGUACCGUGAGGGAAAGGCGAAAAGAACCCCGGCGAGGGGAGUGAAAAAGAACCUGAAACCGUGUACGUACAAGCAGUGGGAGCACAGGUUUACCUGUGUGACUGCGUACCUUUUGUAUAAUGGGUCAGCGACUUAUAUUCUGUAGCAAGGUUAACCGUAUAGGGGAGCCGUAGGGAAACCGAGUCUUAACCGGGCGUUAAGUUGCAGGGUAUAGACCCGAAACCCGGUGAUCUAGCCAUGGGCAGGUUGAAGGUUGGGUAACACUAACUGGAGGACCGAACCGACUAAUGUUGAAAAAUUAGCGGAUGACCUGUGGCUGGGGGUGAAAGGCCAAUCAAACCGGGAGAUAGCUGGUUCUCCCCGAAAGCUAUUUAGGUAGCGCCUCGUGAAUUCAUCUCCGGGGGUAGAGCACUGUUUCGGCUAGGGGG